GAGUACAUUCAUUUCACCCCAGAAUACCUACUGAAUGACACUUUAAUUGAGCUUUAUGGAUCAAGAGGAAGAGUCUUUGUGCAUGAGUGGGCUCAUAUGAGAUGGGGCGUGUAUGACGAAUGCAAUGGAGAAAAGCCAUUUUACCACUCUAAUGGCCAUAUUGAAGCUACAAGGUGUAGCAAAAACAUUGAAGGUCAGUUUUAUGAAGUUACUGCUGGAGGAUCUCUUCAACAGUGCCGCAUUGAUCCACAAACUUCACUACCUACCAAGGGGUGCAUAUUUUUUCUGGACAGAAAUCAAAUCACAAACAGCUCCAUUAUGUUUUUCCCGGGUCUGGAUGCCGUAAGUAUUGA